rnacentral:lncRNA from 1 species
UUAAUUACUACUACUAGAUGGCAGAGUCUAGAGUGGUAGGUUGAUAGUCCUGGUCUUGAACUAGUAGGAUGUAGUCAUUAUAUCUAAUAUCUAUCGAAAUUAUGAGAGUAGUAACGAAAAAUAGUGAUAUAUGCAUAAAAUUGAAUAUAAAAUUUUAUAAAAUAUUUUUUAGUUAUGCUAUCUAUGUGAAUAAGUAGGAUUACAAAGAUUCUGGAUCCAAUUUUGUUAUAUGAAAUAUUUUUCAAAUUGUAAUUGCCGUGGAAAAAGAAUAAAGAUGUGGCGACAUACAUAGAUGAUUCCUUGGUCCCUCGUACUCAAUUUAAUACCAAUGGGUCCAUUUUCGAACAUGGCAGUGGUCCGGUCAAAUGAAUUACAUAUCCACCGCGGAAAGCCCCUUGCUUUUGUCAAUGGAAUCUUUGGGCACACUCAUUAUUAUAUGAUUAACCCUUCUGUCAAAUAGGCCCUGGGAGGAAAACAACACCUCCGUUCCCUUUCAAAUGAUCUUUAGGUUCUUACACGUAUUUGACGCAGAACAAGAAUUAGCAAAUGAAUACAUGCAACUAUGCAACUUAUAAGUUAUAACUGCAAAAAAUGGAACAGAGGAUUUCAUUUCUAAUGAAUACGCAUUGUUUCUUCAAGAAAUUCGUAUUCUGUUUAUUUCUUUUAAAAUUUUUUGGGGGUUAAUUCGUGAAUUGUAGUCCGUAGGUUUAAAAUUUGUGUGAUGGUCUGGAUGGCUCGUGGCUAUAGUGUGUACAAAGGUUGAUGAAAAAGAUUGGCGAACGAGUCUCAUACUCUCAUUAUCAAUGACCUAACUCCUGCUACAUGUUGCUAUCUAUGCAUAAAGCUUGUGAGUAGAUUCAAGAAAUAUCUUCUGUAGUUAUCAAGUUAUGCGGGUCAGGAAUCACCUCUGCAGCUCUGCUUCGUCUGUUUUCAAGUGCAAUACUGUGCUAGUUUCAUUUUUCUUGCUUUGCUCACUUCCACUCUUAAAUUUCCAAAUUUAAUUGCAUGCGUGCCAUAACCCUGCCAGGUACAAGCUGCUGCUCUUCUUACAUAAGUUUCUUUAAACUACAGUUAUAUAAUUAUCUUCUAACCUUUACUUCUGUGUAGUUUCGAAUGAACGGCCAUUCCCAUAUUUCAAUAAGAAACAUCUCUUCUCAGUGCUCAUGGUUCCUCGUCUCCCUCUCCGAACAUGGGUCACAAUACCAAUACGAAACAGAGUAGUUGUGUAUUGCUUGAUGCUAGCAAGUUGAAACAUACAUGUGUAUAGAAGUUGGGUUAUUUAGAUCAGUCGUACCCUUAUUAAGCACCUAACAAUCUGCUUAGAAGAUUUAGUUGUAGUCUCCUCGCCUCAUAUUUAUCAACAACAAAUGUUAAGUUAGUCAUUUUGCACUUACCGAAUAAGAUUGUAUUGUAAUUAAUACUCCCUCCGUCCCUUUUUACAUGUCCACUUUGAAAAAGAAAAUUGUCCCAAAUUACUUGUCCACUUCUUUUUUCAAAGCAACUUUUUGUAUGUUUUUUCAAAAAAUAACAACUUCCAAUGUUUGACUAGCAUAUAUAUAUACACAACUCUAUCUAAUUCAUUACAUUUAUUAGGGAUAUGUAUGAAAACAAGAUAUUCAACUAACAUUUUCUUAAGAUGCGUUAUUUUUUCAAAAGGGACAAGUAAAAGGGGACGGAGGGAGUAAUACCGAAAAACGUAUGAAUUUGUGAUAAACAUAAUUACAAUUAAUAUGAUCAUACCAAACUUAAAUAACUUCGAACCAUUCAUGGUAAAACGUUUGGGUAGCAAAUAGACAGGGUUUACUCUGACAAAAGAUUGGAC